ensembl:lncRNA
UUAUAUUUCAUUAUGCCAGUAGAUGGUGAUCUUGCACUGCUGUGGAACUACCAGAGAGACUCUAGCGAUAGGCUCUGCGCAUGCGCAGCUCAGAAAUAAAUGAGCUCCGGCCUGAGCAAGACGCUAACUUCGGUGUCCUCUCUAUUAAUCCACAGGUACUGACAAACAAACUUUUAUGUUACCAAACUGGUUCUAAAUGUCAUGUAAGUUGAGUAACAACUGUUCGGCUAUAUUUUGAGAUGAUUGUGAUGAUGUUGUUUUGUGGUAUUUUGUUGUAAUGAGUAUUAGUGUAUCAUCGGCAUUAGGGCUGCCACAAACGAUUAUUUUGAUAGUCGACUAGUCACCGAUUAUUUUUGCGAUUAGUCGACUAAUCAGAUCAUGCAUCCAUUGGACGUAAAAUGUACACCUGAAAAUAUGUUAAACGUUUAUUUUGUGACCCAGAAAGAAUAAUAAUUGUAAUAUUAAAACUAACUAGCUGCCGCCAUUGUUGACAACUGCGCUGGGCCGCGCUAUGAAUUCUGGAACACAGUUUCUUCUUCUUCGGGGUUUAACGGCAGCUGGCAUCCUUGUACAUGCAGUGCUGCCAUCUUCUGUUUCAGUCCGUUAUUACACUCUUAAAUACUACUACUUAUUCCUGCGUCUUUUGGGAUCUUACAAAGCUUCAAACGACGCGUCGACUAUUAAAUUAGUCGUCGACGAUUUUAAUAGUCGACGUAAUCGUGACUAGUCGACUAAUCGUGGCAGCCCUAAUCGGCAUAAUGCUAUAAUGCUACGUAGCACUAUAAGUAUAUGCCAUGACAGUGGCAACCUGCGACUUCAGAAAAUGUGUUGUACUGUUUGUUUUAGUGUUAGCCAAGCAGUACUGAGUACAUGUAUUAAGGGGAAAGGCUUUCGUUGGUGAAACAACGUUUGGAGUCGUCUGCCGCCAUGUUGUGUUGCGUUCAGGGGACGCCAUGUUCAAAAGUGAUAGCGUAUAUGGCGCGAAUGUGGGGACAGGUUGUGUGAAUGUGAGAUGGGUUAUUUCGGUAUGUUGUUAUGCUUUAACCGCGAGUGUUUUGUUUAAGUUGUGAGUAUGUAAAGUUAUUUUGAAUUAGUUUGUAUUUAUUUUGCUUUUGAGAGAAUGCUUUUUGUAACUUUAUUUGUUUAUCAACUAUGUUAUUUUAUGGGAAGAAUGCAUGGUCUAGUGUGAUUUGUAUUGUGUAUAUGUGGAGAAAUAAAUGAGCUCCGGCCUGAGCAAGACGCUAACUUCGGUGUCCUCUCUAUUAAUCCACAGUUUGCUCAUACUUGGCUACGCAGUGCUCUCUAGCCUGUGUGCCGCUUGCUGCCGGUCCAGAUUCCCCUAGAUCUGGUGCAGUAGAUGGUGAUCUUGCACUGCUGUGGAACUACCAGAGAGACUCUAGCGAUAGGCUCUGCGCAUGCGCAGCUCAGAAAUAAAUGAGCUCCCGCCUGAGCAAGACGCUAACUUCGGUGUCCUCUCUAUUAAUCCACAGGUACUGACAAACAAACUUUUAUGUUACCAAACUGGUUCUAAAUGUCAUGUAAGUUGAGUAACAACUGUUCGGCUAUAUUUUGAGAUGAUUGUGAUGAUGUUGUUUUGUGGUAUUUUGUUGUAAUGAGUAUUAGUGUAUCAUCGGCAUAAUGCUAUAAUGCUACGUAGCACUAUAAGUAUAUGCCAUGACAGUGGCAACCUGCGACUUCAGAAAAUGUGUUGUACUGUUUUAGUGUUAGCCAAGCAGUACUGAGUACAUGUAUUAAGGGGAAAGGCUUUCGUUGGUGAAACAACGUUUGGAGUCGUCUGCCGCCAUGUUGUGUUGCGUUCAGGGGACGCCAUGUUCAAAAGUGAUAGCGUAUAUGGCGCGAAUGUGGGGACAGGUUGUGUGAAUGUGAGAUGGGUUAUUUCGGUAUGUUGUUAUGCUUUAACCGCGAGUGUUUUGUUUAAGUUGUGAGUAUGUAAAGUUAUUUUGAAUUAGUUUGUAUUUAUUUUGCUUUUGAGAGAAUGCUUU